GCCUCGGUAGUGCAGUAGGCAGAACGUCAGUCUCAUAAUCUGAAGGUCGUGAGUUCAAUCCUCACCAGGGGCA
rnacentral:tRNA from 1 species